GGGCGCGCUCGGGUUAACCGAGCAAGGCGGGAAGAUCCGAGUCUGCCUCGGACCCGUGUAAAAAGCGUGAAGUUCGGGGGGGUUCGGUUUCCGAGAAACCGAACCCGCUCAUCACUAAUUGUGACAUCAUCAUCUGACGGGGCUGCGGGGUGGUCCGGGCUCUGGGGGCGGCGCCGUGAGCUGGGGCCUCUGACGCGAGCGACGCCGGAGACGCUAAGCUUGGCGCGCUGACGGAGUCUGUGACAUCAACGCAGUUCUCGCCAGGUGACCGAUGGGGGCGCGGUUUGGCCAUACUAUGCAGGCAUACUAUUCUUCCCUGUUCUGAAGGAGAUAGAAAUUUAUUUCCGGGCAUGUGAUGCGUUCCAGCUGAAACGCAUACCAGAAUCAUUAGUUCCUUACCAGCUGAAGUCAUUUUCAGUCUGGUUUAACUUCAAAUAGAGAUUUUUGCCAAUAGAAUGUAGCAUAAGAAUUAUCCCUAUUUUACACAGGACAUCUUUGUUUAUCAAACAGACCACUAAGCCUCAUUGUAGUAAAUUUAAACAUAAGUUUUAUUAGUCAGCAGUAAUGCAAAAUGCAGCUAAUUAAGGGAAAUUAUGUAAUCACACUAGGAGUUUAAAUAGCAGCCAGGGUGAGAGGCAUUUCAUUCUGAAAUUUCCACACCCAUGGUUGCAAGUUAGGAGAUCCUUUAUGGUGAGUGCUUCUUUCUGAUAUAUUUGUGUUUAAAGGCUGCAGUUAAAUCAUUAUCUUAAAAUGAUUGUACUUAUAUGUUACAAUAGUUGAAUUAUCUUUUAUUUUAAGAUACAACUGUGGGUCCUUUUGGAAGUUCCAGUUUAUUAAUAAUUAUCUUUACUCUGGAUAUACCUUUUGAUGCUUCCGUAUCUAUAUAUAUAUAAAAAAAUAUUUUUCCAGUGCACUGAAUCAGUACAUGGUUUUAGGGUGAUCCAGUACUAAAGAUGGAGAGGCUCUUUUUAGAGUCAAAGUGGGAAGCCACUUUUUAAGGUCCAUGUUCCUUUUAUAUAUGAAGAGCUUGCCUUUAUAUAAAGGUUGUUUUAAAAACAUCUUUACUGCAGAACUAUUGAUGUAAUAUUUUGAUCCUAACAUUUUUGCUACCCCUGAUGAAGUCAAAUAGACGAAACGCAUUGGGUUUAUCAGCUACAAAUCAGUAAUCCAGUUGAGGAUAACGCUCCCUUGUACCAAGUUUACACCUUGUUAAGGUGAGGGAGUUCGCAUAUCCAUAUCACCUACUGGAUAUUUAUGGAAUCAUAAAAUAAUUUGUUUUCAUGUACAAUAGUUCAUUAGACCUUCUGUAUAAGGCUUUUUAUGAAUUCAUUUUGUCAUUAAAUAAUUUUAUUCUAAUUGUUUGUUUGGGUGACUUUUUGGUGAGGGGUUAUCCACUGUAGGAAUCCAGAAAACCCCAUCUUCUACAAUAUAAGAUAUAUCCAUUUGGAAGGACUUCCGUUCAAUCUAUACAAGAACUUUAGCGCACUCGGGAAUUGUUUAUAUAUAUAUAUAUAUAUAUAUAUAUAUAUAUAUAAAAUGUCCCAUCUCCUACUGCCAAUCCAACAGCUCCCAUUUCUAGGGAGACAGGACAGACCUAGUACUGGAGAAGAGGAGGACCCACCAAGCCAUCAGAAGUCUGGCUGAAUAUGGGGGUGGAAUGAAGUAUGGAGUGUG